rnacentral:rRNA from 1 species
UGCAAGUCGAACGUGAAAGCACUUCGGUGUGAGUAGAGUGGCGGACGGGUGAGUAACGCGUGGGAAUCUGCCCAGUAGUGGGGGACAACUACCGGAAACGGUAGCUAAUACCGCAUACGCCCUAUGGGGGAAAGGCUUCGGCCGCUAUUGGAUGAGCCCGCGUCAGAUUAGCUAGUUGGUAGGGUAAAGGCCUACCAAGGCAACGAUCUGUAGCUGGUCUGAGAGGACGAACAGCCACACUGGGACUGAGACACGGCCCAGACUCCUACGGGAGGCAGCAGUGGGGAAUAUUGGACAAUGGGCGAAAGCCUGAUCCAGCAAUGCCGCGUGUGUGAAGAAGGCCUGCGGGUUGUAAAGCACUUUCAGUUGGGAAGAUGAUGACGUUACCAACAGAAGAAGCACCGGCUAAAUCCGUGCCAGCAGCCGCGGUAAUACGGAUGGUGCGAGCGUUAAUCGGAAUUACUGGGCGUAAAGCGCGCGUAGGCGGCUAAGUCAGUCAGAAGUGAAAGCCCCGGGCUCAACCUGGGAAUUGCUUUUGAUACUGCUUGGCUAGAGUUUGGUAGAGGAUAGUGGAAUUC